ensembl:lincRNA C530043A13Rik RIKEN cDNA C530043A13 gene
GAGGAAACGGAGAGUUCUACAGGAAUAGAGAGACCCUGGGCCCUUCUUGAGCUUUUUGAAACCCUAAGCCCACCCCCAGGGACACACUUCCUCUGAUAAGGCCACACCCACCCUAAGAAGGCCACACCUCCUCCUAGUGCUACUCCCUGGUACCCAAGCCUUCAAAUCUCUGAACCUAUAGGGACUAUUGCUAUUCAAACCACCACAUUAGGGGAGAUUAAAAUACCUGCAUGAAAGUUUUAUGAGGUGGUGAAGAUCAAAAGUGGAAGUAAUUCACUGGAUGUUCUCUGCAGGCAAGCAAUCUUUCAAACAAAGAAACAAACAAACAAAACCAAAAACAUUCCUUACAGGAAGAUGAUCAUCGUAGACCAAGAAUGGAUGAACAAGGGUAAUUGUGAGAAGAAAAAUGAAAUAUGGGACAGAAAAUCCCAGGUCAAGUUGGAGGUCAGUUUUCAGGAACCAGGAUUUGGCCUGAAUUGUUGUUUUCAAAUCCUUAUCUGUUGACUCUUGAGGAAGGAAGGCAAAGAGACUCAAUAGAAGGCUCAGCAUUGUAUCUCAAGAAAGGUUUAUUUUGUCCAAAAAGAUACUUGGGAAUUGAACAUGAAUACGGGACACAGUCCAUGUUCAUAAAGGCCAUCAGCCCUCCAGAAGAGAGGAUGGAUCUGGAGAGAAGAGAUGGGAUUCCAUGAAGAGGAUCCAGUAGUUGGCUGGACCACACAACCCUGUUUCAGGAGGCAGUGGGAAGUUCGUUUGUGUCUUCAAGAUGUUGGAAGGGGCUUGAGUUCUUUCUUUCUUUCUUUCUUUCUUUCUUUCUUUCUUUCUUUCUUUCUUUCUUUCUUUCUUUCUUCCUCCCUCCCUUCCUCUCCCUCUCCCUUAUUUUUUCAUCUAUAGCCUUAAUCCAGGGAGCUGCACAAUAUGCUCUUCAGUUUCCUUUCUUCCUUUAUUUUCAGUCAGCAGCAGAAGCUCUUGAGAGAAGCACUGUCUAAAUAUAAGAGUACAAUUAAGAGAAAUGCAUUCCUUUUCCUUAGGAAAACUUCCGUGAUGCACGGACACUUCUUACUCAGCAAGUUUAAUUGUUGCCUCUUUAAGGAAGAUUUCAUUUCCCCAGAGCUGAGGCAGAGGGAUGAUGCUAGGAGUCUGGUAAGCCCCUAAGAGUGAGAGAUAUGGCAUUUUUGUGGACAGAGAGACCUUACAGGACCAGCACUUCUCUUUCCCAAGAGGGUUGUGCUCUUCUGCAGUUUUAGAACAUGGUCCCCCUGUGAUUGCCUGGGACCUUCCUCCCAGGCGGGAGCUCACUUAAUCUGAUCUAACCUAAACUAUAGCUAUCAGGGUGUGAGGAACACCAUCUUCUAAAAAAAAUUAUUUCUUAUUAUAACCGCUUUUACUCUACAAAUUAAUGUGAUUCAUUAUAUUCAUUAAUAAAUGUUUCUUUAAUAAUG